rnacentral:rRNA from 1 species
UACAGAGGUCCCAAGCGUUGUUCGGAUUUACUGGGCGUAAAGGGUGCGUAGGUGGUGAGGUAAGUCUGAUGUGAAAGCCCUGGGCUCAACCUGGGAAUGGCAUUGGAAACUGGCGAUCUAGAGUGUGGUAGGGGAGAUCGGAAUUCCUGGUGUAGCGGUGAAAUGACGCAGAUAUCAGGAGGAACACCGGUGGCGAAGGCGGAUCUCUGGGCCAUUACUGACGCUGAGGAGCGAAAGCGUGGGGAGCGAACAGG